GGAGCAAGAGCAGGAACAGGAACAGAGGAGCGUGCAGCAGAGGUCUACAAAGAGUCAGCAGAAAGAUGGAAGUGGAGAAGAAAGGCCAAGAGGACCAGGAGGGCCAAGAGAAGGCUGGAGCCAGCGCUCCAGAGGAGGAGAAAGUCUUGUGAAACAGUCCAGCCUUCCACCGGCCCAGAUAAGAGAAAGGCAGAGCCAGUCAGAAGAGCUGGGUCAGUGUUGGUGCAUGAAUCAAGCUCAACGCUGUUCUGUUUGAUGCAACACACCUGCUGACCUUGUCUACGAUUGUUUAUUUUUGAAUCCAUUUUGUUGGCAUGGUUUCAGAUGAAUUUAAGCAGAAACAAGAACUCAUAUUCACGUUGACUAUUUGAGUACAGUAGAGCCAUUCUGUAUGAGUUAUUGAGAA